rnacentral:rRNA from 1 species
GACGAACGCUGGCGGCGUGCUUAACACAUGCAAGUCGAACGGAAAGGCCUUUUCGGAGGUACUCGAGUGGCGAACGGGUGAGUAACACGUGGGUGAUCUGCCCUGCACUCUGGGAUAAGCCUGGGAAACUGGGUCUAAUACCGGAUAGGACCGCACUUUAGUGUGUGUGGUGGAAAGUUUUUCGGUGUAGGAUGAGCCCGCGGCCUAUCAGCUUGUUGGUGGGGUAAUGGCCUACCAAGGCGGCGACGGGUAGCCGGACUGAGAGGUUGGUCGGCCACAUUGGGACUGAGAUACGGCCCAGACUCCUACGGGAGGCAGCGGUGGGGAAUAUUGCACAAUGGGCGCAAGCCUGAUGCAGCGACGCCGCGUGGGGGAUGACGGCCUUCGAGUUGUAAACUCCUUUUGCCAGGGACGAAGCGUUUUGUGACGGUACCUGGAGAAGAAGCACCGGCUAACUACGUG